UCUAUUCUUUUUUGUUUUUUGUUUUCGUUUUCUGAGCGGCCGCGACCAUGAUCCAUAUCGAGUUCCUGAAGGAGGCGUCCGUCGCCGAAACGAAAAUGACACCACGUCCCAAGAUCGUGGAGGACCCGCACCUGGACAUGAAACUGCGGAUUAAACGGGAACUGGAGGGGGAGAAACAGGACAAGAGGAAGUACUCGGGUCUGCUACCCUCCGAAAUCGGUACCGAUUACACCUUCAAGAGGGAGAUAGUAUGGAAGAACGCCGUUGGGUUUCUGAUGCUGCAUCUGGCAGCACUGUACGGGUUUUACCUUCUAACGACGCAGUGCUAUUGGCUGACCUGCCUUUGGACGUUUAUAGUGGCCUUCGGAUCAGGGCUGGGGGUGACUACCGGGGCGCACAGGUUGUUCUCCCACCGAUCGUACAAGGCCCCAUUCAUUACUCGACUCGUUCUUAUCUUAUUCCACACGUUAGCAGGACAGAACUGUCUCUACAUUUGGGUGCGCGACCAUAGACAGCACCAUAAGUACAGCGACACGGAUGCGGACCCGCACAACGCGAAUCGGGGGUUCUUCUUCUCCCACAUCGGAUGGCUGAUGAGCAGAAAACACCCUGCCGUUAUCGAGAAAGGUCGAACCAUCGACAUGUCGGACAUGGAUGCCGAUCGCCUGGUCAUGUUCCAGAAAAACCACUACAAGAUCCUUUAUACGAUAUUCGCCAUUCUGCUACCUUCGCUGGUACCGUACUACUGCUGGGGCGAGAAGUUUUUCAAUGCAGUUUUCUCUGCGUACAUGUUCAGGAGCGUUCUGGUGCUCAACAUCACGUGGUUAGUGAACAGCGCCGCCCAUUUGUGGGGCAACAAACCCUUUGACAGGUUUAUGAAACCCGUAGAGUCCAGGUUCGUCGCGUUUUGGUCCGUGGGAGAAGGAUGGCACAACUACCAUCACGCGUUCCCGUGGGACUACAGGGCGGCCGAAUUCGGAUCUAGAUACAGCAUCACCACCUUCGUGAUCGACCUCUUAGCCCAUUGGGGUUUGGCAUACGAUUUGAAGACCACUCCGUAUCACAUGAUUCAAAAGAGGGUGUUAAGGACGGGAGACGGAUCCCACGCGAUACAUCAGAAAGCAAACGCGACGGCAAAACAGGACCCGACCAAGGAGUCCGAAGAGAAAAAGGACAUCUACAAUUAUUUGGAUCCGGACCUGGCGGUCAGAUACAUGACGUCACAAGGUUAAACGCACCCUUAGUCGCUUGUAUUUAUUUCUGGCAUCGGCCCGAGAUCCCCGGGGGUGUUUUCUGUUUUGCAGGAGAUGACAUGUAUUCGAGGUAAAACAAAACGUUUUUGCGUUGUCCGAACGUUUGGAAAUUCUGAGUUCGAAUUACCUAAAGUGCCAUAAUCGAAAAAAAAUUACGAGGCAUUUCUUCGUAUAAAAUUAAUAUUGUUCGCGAAGUUUGUCUAGAAGAACAUUUGGGCAGAACAACUAAAAAUCGAAAACAAAAUCACCCCUGAGAACAGGUGACUUCGUCGGAACGUUUCUAAUUUACAAAAUGGUUCUAGUAGUAUUAUAAUGCAUUAGUACAAUAUCGUAGAUUUAGUAGUAGCUUUGUAGAUGUAUAGGGGGUACGCAAAGGUCCAUUCAAUUUUAACCAUAAACAAAUAAUAUAUUUUAUACAGAAAAAGUUACCUAAGUAAUAAUUUAUUAGCUAUAUUUAAAAUUGUAAGUAUAGUACAAGUGCGUUGUU